GACGAACGCUGGCGGCGUGCUUAACACAUGCAAGUCGAACGGAAAGGCCCUGCUUUUGUGGGGUGCUCGAGUGGCGAACGGGUGAGUAACACGUGAGUAACCUGCCCUUGACUUUGGGAUAACUUCAGGAAACUGGGGCUAAUACCGGAUAGGAGCUCCUGAUGCAUGGUGGGGGUUGGAAAGUUUCGGCGGGUGGGGGUGGACUCGCGGCUUAUCAGCUUGUUGGUGGGGGAGUGGCUUACCAAGGCUUCGACGGGUAGCCGGCCUGAGAGGGUGACCGGCCACAUUGGGACUGAGAUACGGCCCAGACUCCUACGGGAGGCAGAAGUGGGGAAUAUUGCACAAUGGGCGGAAGCCUGAUGCAGCAACGCCGCGUGCGGGAUGACGGCCUUCGUGUUGUAAACCGCUUUCGCCUGUGACGAAGCGGGAGUGACGGUAAUGGGUAAAGAAGCACCGGCUAACUACGUG
rnacentral:rRNA from 1 species